rnacentral:rRNA from 1 species
UACGAAGGGGGCUAGCGUUGCUCGGAAUCACUGGGCGGAAAGGGUGCGUAGGCGGGUCUUUAAGUCAGGGGUGAAAUCCUGGAGCUCAACUCCAGAACUGCCUUUGAUACUGAAGAUCUUGAGUUCGGGAGAGGUGAGUGGAACUGCGAGUGUAGAGGUGAAAUUCGUAGAUAUUCGCAAGAACGCCAGUGGCGAAGGCGGCUCACUGGCCCGAUACUGACGCUGAGGCACGAAAGCGUGGGGAGCAAACAGG